rnacentral:rRNA from 1 species
GAUGAACGCUGGCGGCGUGCUUAACACAUGCAAGUCGAACGGUGAAGCGCCUUGCUUUUUGGUGGGAGGGGAGGAGCGGCGAACGGGUGAGUAACACGAGAGUAACCUGCUCCCACCGGGUGGAUAACCGCAUGAAAGUGUGGCUAAUACGGGAUAUUCUGGGUCGGUUGCAUGAUGGGUCAGGGAAAGAUAUGGUGUCGGUGGGGGAUGGGCCCGCGGCGGAUUAGCUAGUUGGUGGGGUGAUGGCCUACCAAGGCGGUGAUGGGUAGCCGGCCUGAGAGGGUGAUCGGCCACCCUGCAACGGCGACACCGCCCCGACUCCUACUACAGGCAGCAGCAGGGAGUCAUCUUCAACAGUCGGCGGCCGCCUGCUACAGCGCCGCGGCAGUAAUGAUGGUCGCCUUAGGGUUAUAAACUUCUUUCACCGAUGAAGCAGGCCUGCCUCAUUUGUAGAUGGGUUGACGGUACCUGGACAAAAAGCCACGGCUAACUACGUG